rnacentral:tRNA from 1 species
GCCCGAAUAGCUCAGUCGGUAGAGCAGGGGAUUGAAAAUCCCCGUGUCGGUGGUUCGAUUCCGCCUCCGGGCA